CCGCCUGCCCCGGGCGGGGAACGCGCACAUCUGGCGGCCCAGGAGCCACAUCUGAUGCACUAACCCCCGCACCCAGAUGUCCAAGAGGCCGGGGGAGUCAAAGAACGCCAGGGGCGGGGCGACCGCGGCUGCGGCUCCUCCCUCGGGCAGAGGGAGUCCAGAUGCGAGGGACGCCCUCCAGAGCCGAGCUGGGCCGGCCGGGCAGCUAGGGUGCUGGGAGGUUGCGGUGCAGGGUGGGUGGGUGCAGUGAGGCUGGAGCCACGCUGGGGGGGCUGGGCUGGCGGGGGGAGGCUGGAGCCGCGCCGGGGAGAGGGAGGCGGCGGUUGGGUGCUGGAGGGCGCUGGUGCCGUGCCAGUGGGCGGUGGCGCCUUACGCCACCCGCCCCACCCCCGUCACCGUGCCCGCCCCACUGCGUGGGAUUUUACAACCUAGGUCCCCGGGAGGUGGUGGUGGAGGGAGGGGCGGCGGGGACGUUUCCGGGGCGGGGGAGGGGCGCACUGCUCCAGAACUGGACCGAGGGCGGGGCUCCCCUCUGCUUCUCCCCUCUGUUCCAGCGCUGAGACGCAGGCCUUUCCUGGCGCGAAGCGACUCGCCCCGGAGCUCCCCUGCACCGUCCUGGGUGUCAGGACGCGUCAACCCAGAUGACCCGACCCGGAGAUCCUGGAUCCUCUGCCCUCUUCCCCCUACCAAGUCCUUAACCGGAGAGGGAGGAGCUACCAAUGUCCUCCAGACGUUCUCCAAAGCCCGAGCUGCCGGGAGAAGCUUGCUCAAGGCGGGUGCGCCCCUCAGACGUUUGUUUGCACGCAGGGGUUUUGACGUUUCGCUAAGCAACAGCGAAAGUUGUAUGUUUAAUUCCUUCCUGGUACUUCAUUAAUCAUCUCGGUGAUUUUCUUGGGUUUUUUUUGUUUGUUUGUUUUUUCUUAACUUGUUUACUGUCUCUUUUUUCCUACUGGGUUGUAUGUCUGUGGAAGCUGAACUUGGCUGGCAGAGCUUGUUUUCCUUCCCCUGCUUCACUAAGUUAUAGGUUUUACAGGAAUAAGGAUGUUGUCUUCUUCCUUUGCAAUUUUGCAAACAUAUAUGCCAACUGCCUAACUGAUUGAUAAUAUUACUAACUAUAUACUUAUGAAGUGGUUUGGACUUUAUGGAAGACUAUUUUAGGUAAUAUAAAUUCUUUAGGAUGCAAACACAAUUUUCUUAACCCAAAAGACAAAAAUUCCCAUCUU
rnacentral:lncRNA from 1 species